rnacentral:rRNA from 1 species
UACUCCUCGCUUGUCAUGGACCUGCACCUGCGGCGGCCGGCGUAGUAGCGGAACAACGGGUCUUCUUCGCUGGCAGCUGCGACGGCGACGGAGGUAGAGAUAGUGCAGCGGCAGCCGCUACCGGUGCCGGGAGGGUAAGGGCAGGACGACGACGGGAGCCAGGGAAGGCUACGAAGGGGAGAGAAGGUAAAGAGAAGAGCAGAAGACCCUACGUGAGGCACACGAUUGUAUCCGAACUGAAACUGAAAAGAGUAGCUCCGACCGAAACAUAGGUAAGGUUAGGGUCUACGUUCGACGUGAGUUCCUUUGUAGUUAUACCAACUACCUCAAACCCACCCUACCUAAAACCUCCCACAAAAAUCCAAACCACGACGACAGUCACACGGUUUCUGUCGACUAAAGUACCUAACCAACUAGUACUUUUAACUAGGACUUUCCUCGUACAAGUCAGUAUUUAACUUCUGAUAUGUAAAAUGUUCUCUGUACCACGGGUUUUUAAAAUUGUAGGGUACGCCCUCGUCCGGUCACCUCCACGACUUCUCCUUGCUCGGUGUGCUCGACGCGUUGUAAAUGGCUAGACCCUCGUCCCGAGGUUAGUUGGCAACGUAGUUACACGAAACACUCCGCUCGUUGUUGCUACAACAAUGGUAAGUCUCCAGAACCCAAAAUGAAAGUGAACCAGAACACGAUUGGGGACCGUGACUCUUACACUAUGGCUAUCUCAUGGAAGGAUCGAACUACCUAUAGCUAUUCAACUUACUCAAACGAACCCUACUCGUACAUAACCCACAACGAUACUCUCUCCACUUCUUCAUGGUUGUUUUCUCCUUCAGACCUGAUCCACCCAAGACCUAACCUCCCACAGAUGGUUACAAACGCCAUUAUAUGUACCUGAAGAACCUGUAAGGAUCCUGAGACCGACCACACGUGUGUAAGUUGACCUGAGAAGGAUCCCGCACGAAACAGUCGUGACUACUGAAGUUUUAGCAACGUCUUGAACUAUCUUUGUUCGAAAGGGAGGUGUUCCAACUUAAACCCUUUGCGUUAGAAGUGGAAAACAGUUUGUGGGGUAUACGUUGUUUCCCUAGGGUGUAGUUACAACUAACAGUCUUCGUUGGCGUACCCAGUCGUCGAGGAGGGGGGCUACGUUGUUCUCGUGUGUUGUGCCUGCUAUUACUGAAUCCGCCGCUACUGGAGUAACACAAAAUACGAAACCUCGUCUAGGGCCUCGUAUACGUUGUUUAUAUACUCUUCGUGUUCUUAGACGUACUUCACCUCAACUUCUCGUGAGACUUAAGACAACCCUUCAGUUCCUCCUUCCUCCUAUUCCCGCCUCCUCUACAUUGUAAGCAACGUCCACCUUCGUUGCGUCGUAGGCGCGGAUUAUGGUCGCGGAGUCGAGUUGUUGGACUUCACCUUUCCGUUCACAGUCGACCGGGGUCCUGAGGAUCGAAGCUUCCACGACCACUAUGGCACAACUUUGUUCCCGUCUCAACGCGAGUUCAGCCGUUCCCCGGAAAUCUGAACCCUUUCCUCCAACUUGUCCUCCAAAGUGUCGUCCUACAAAGUUAUCUCCAGCUACGUCUUCGUUCAGGUGCACAGUUGGUACCGUUCCUACGACUCCCGCAACGACGGUUACUACCGUGCUAAUAGGAUAGUGUCCCGUGUGACUUUCGUUACCUUCGGCGACGUUACCUUACCCUACUACCGGGUAGCACACUGGAAAAAGGUCAACCCUCGCUUCUGAUGCUCACCAAAGUGGUCCUUCACGGUGGAUUUAGAAGUUUCUAGGGUAUACAUCAACGGUGAGGGAGACGACGCUACGUGAGCCUAAGUCGCCCCGGAUGUAAACUGUUUUGCGGUCUCCGUCGAUCCCGAUUACACUUAUUCUAACGUGUAGGUUAACGUUGUCUGUAGAGAAGAAGAGAAAAACUGUCGCUAGGUUUUCAAAGGUGGAGUUUACUCUAGUUGUUCGGAUAGAAACUACGUAGAGGACAACAGUGGUGUCGUUGACAACCCAGAAAUCCAUUAAGUUGAUAGAGACCUAAACCUUGUGGUUUACAACUAAGGUCGUCACCCGGUUCAACACGAAGCUUCUUCCGACAGUUCUUCUUCUUUCCCCGACGGGUCAGUGGACUACCCCAAGACUUCUACUUCUUCUAGUUCUAACUACGUUGGCCCCUGAGAAAUGUAGUCGUCAUACAAUACUUGUCUAUGUUCAAUUCCUUUGGUUUCCUUCCGCUUAGAGAGGAACGAAAGUAACUUUAUCUACCGAAGGUGUGGAGGGAAGUCUUAAAGGUACGGAGCGAUUUCGGUGCUCGGCUCUAACUGUUACUCCAGUACUGAGAGAUGGAGUUUUGAAAGUUGUAUCUCGUUUAAACGUCGUCCUUCUUCGACUUCUUCAAACGUAAGAGUCAAAAAUACUCACCAGUUGACCGACGACUCGGACUUCAAAAACUAGGAUUUGACACACUUUCCCUCAAAUCCUACCGGAUACUCUCGUCGUUGUAUAGUUCAACGCUAGAUGAAAAGAAAUAUCAACAGGUCUUCUCCGUGACCCGACAUCAACAACGUUUGAACCGUUACUUCGUUAAGUUGUAAAAGUUGGGUUAUUUCUUGUUGUUUCUACACGUUGACGAUGUGUUCCGUUGGUCGUUAUACUAGUGCUUGGAUUUGUCUCACCGUUCCUCACUUGGUCGUAAGUUUGUACUAGAGCUAAACAAACUCCUCAAAUUAGGUGUCGUUCCUUGAAUGAUACUAACGUCUAAAAAACGAUAAGACAUGAACCUCUUGAAGCUACCACACCAGUACCGUAGUAAACUAGUCCUUAUGUAAGGUUUCGACGCCUACUCCUAACGUAGUCUAGACAACUCCGUGGGACUGUUGUUCAACCUGGGACGCCUCGUCGACUUCUUCUACGACGUAGUUUUCCCACCAGCAAGAACU